UACGUAGGUGGCAAGCGUUGUCCGGAAUUACUGGGCGUAAAGCGUGCGCAGGCGGUUCGCUGUGUCCGAUGUGAAAGCCCCGGGCUUAACCUGGGAAUGGCAUUGGAAACUGGCGGGCUUGAGUGCGGCAGAGGGGGGUGGAAUUCCGCGUGUAGCAGUGAAAUGCGUAGAGAUGCGGAGGAACACCGAUGGCGAAGGCAGCCCCCUGGGUCGACACUGACGCUCAGGCACGAAAGCGUGGGGAGCAAACAGG
rnacentral:rRNA from 1 species